rnacentral:rRNA from 1 species
UACGAAGGGUGCUAGCGUUGUUCGGAAUUACUGGGCGUAAAGCGCGCGUAGGCGGCUUUGCAAGUCAGAGGUGAAAUCCCCAGGCUCAACCUGGGAAUUGCCUUUGAAACUGCAAAGCUGGAGUGUCGGAGGGGAUAGCGGAAUUCCUAAUGUAGAGGUGAAAUUCGUAGAUAUUAGGAGGAACACCGGUGGCGAAGGCAGCUUACUAGGCUGUAACUGACGCUGAGGCACGAAAGUGUGGGGAUCAAACAGG